rnacentral:rRNA from 1 species
GUUUGAUGUUCUAACGUUGACCCGUAAUCCGGGUUGCGGACAGUGUCUGGUGGGUAGUUUGACUGGGGCGGUCUCCUCCUAAAGAGUAACGGAGGAGCACGAAGGUUGGCUAAUCCUGGUCGGACAUCAGGAGGUUAGUGCAAUGGCAUAAGCCAGCUUGACUGCGAGCGUGACGGCGCGAGCAGGUGCGAAAGCAGGUCAUAGUGAUCCGGUGGUUCUGAAUGGAAGGGCCAUCGCUCAACGGAUAAAAGGUACUCCGGGGAUAACAGGCUGAUACCGCCCAAGAGUUCAUAUCGACGGCGGUGUUUGGCACCUCGAUGUCGGCUCAUCACAUCCUGGGGCUGAAGUAGGUCCCAAGGGUAUGGCUGUUCGCCAUUUAAAGUGGUACGCGAGCUGGGUUUAGAACGUCGUGAGACAGUUCGGUCCCUAUCUGCCGUGGGCGCUGGAGAACUGAGGGGGGCUGCUCCUAGUACGAGAGGACCGGAGUGGACGCAUCACUGGUGUUCGGGUUGUCAUGCCAAUGGCACUGCCCGGUAGCUAAAUGCGGAAGAGAUAAGUGCUGAAAGCAUCUAAGCACGAAACUUGCCCCGAGAUGAGUUCUCCCUGACUCCUUGAGAGUCCUGAAGGAACGUUGAAGACGACGACGUUGAUA